GGGGCUGCAGGUGCAAGGGGCAGGGAGUGGAACAUGAGACCAGCAAGAGUGAGAAGGCCUUGAAUGCCAGGCCAGACAUGGAGAGCGUUAGGGAACCAGAGCCAGUUUGAAAAGGCAGCUGAGAUGGGGCUGUGGAGAACUCGGAAUGCAAUCCCCACCCCCAGGAGAAGAGGAAGAAACCUCUUACUGUCUCCAGCAAGGGGCUCCCAGGGUCUGCCAGGACCACACCAUCCAACCCUAUGCUGUCAGAUCUCCCAGCUCUCCCUUCAGCAAUUUUGAGUCAUAGUUGUAUCUGGGGCUGAGGCUAAAUUCUCCUCUGAACCUCCAUCGACCGCCCUUACUGCCCACCUCAGAGAAACCGCAUCUCUGGAGGCUGAAGUCUGGACUGAGGGCACAGGCUUUGUCCACUGAAAACUUACAGAAAUUGUGCCAACAGCCCAAGAGCAAUUGCAUCCCUGCUGCCUGACUAUGGUCUCUAAAUACCAUUUCCCGCUAGAAGAAAUCAGGGCCCUCUGGGGAAAUGCCUGUUUCCAGAUUUGUGGCAGGAAACAUAGAAGAUAAGCCUAGAAAAGUCUUAUCAUGUCAGAAAGCAAAGAUAAAAUUAAAGACUACUAGGGUCUUUGCAAAAGGACACAGGAGCCAGCUUGAAGGGGCUCCUACUGGCCCAAAACGUGACAACUUGAUCCUCAAAAAAGAAAGAUGGCCGCAAUGAACAUCACGUGUAACCCCAGUCUAAUCGUGAGCAAAGCAUCAGACAAAUCCCAAUAGAGUGACAUUCUGCAAGAUAUCUGACCAGGACUCCUCAAAACUGCCAAGGUCAUCAAAAACAAAGUCUGGGAAAUUGUCACAGCCAAGAGGAACCUAAGGAGACGUGACAAUGAAAUGUAAUGUGGUGUCCUGGAUGGGAUCCUGGAAGAAAAAAAGGACAUUAGGUAAAAAUUAAGGAAAUCUGAAUAGUCUGGACUUUAGUUAAUAAUAAUGUAUCAAUAUUGGUCAUUAAUUAUAACAAAUAUACCAUGCUAGUUAGUGUAAGAUAUUAAUAAUAGGAGAAACUCUGUUUGAUUUUUUCAAUUUUUUUGGACAUCUAAAACCGUUCUGAAAAAUCAAGUUGAUUUAAAAAAUGGGAAAUGUAUUAAAAUCCAUUAAUUAGUAAUGACACUAAAGAAAGAGAUUUCACUGGUCACCUUUGGAGGCUGUGGAGCACCAACUCAUUUUUUGAAAAUGGAUAAAUAAAGGG
rnacentral:lncRNA from 1 species